GGGCACGUGUCCAAGUGGUUUAAGGAGACCGCCUGCAGAGCGGUUAUGCGCAGGUUCGAAUCCUGCCGUGCCCU
rnacentral:tRNA from 1 species